AUUGAACGCUGGCGGCAUGCCUAACACAUGCAAGUCGAGCGGAGCGGCGGACGGGUGAGUAAUGCCUAGGAAUCUGCCUGGUAGUGGGGGAUAACGUCCGGAAACGGGCGCUAAUACCACAUACUAUCAAGUGAGCCUCGGUCGGAUUAGCUAGUUGGUGGGGGAAAGGCCUACCAAGGCGACGAUCCGUAACUGGUCUGAGAGGAUGAUGAGUAACACUGGAACGGAGACACGGUCCAGACCCCGACGGGAGGCAGCAGUGGGGAAUAUUGGGCAAUGGGCAGAAGGGUGAUCCAGCCAUGCCGCGUGUGUGAAGAAGGUCUUCGGAUUGUAAAGCACGUUAAGUUGGGAGGCGUUACCAAAAGAAUAAGCACCGGCUAACUCCGUGCCAGCAGCCGCGGUAAUAC
rnacentral:rRNA from 1 species